AUGCCUCUGACAGCGCCGAUGGCAGGCGCGCGCCUGGGCGCGGGGCCGGGGACGGAGGUGGACGGGGGCUUCGACUUCGCCUUCGCCUUCGCCUUCGGCAAUGAUGCUUUCUCCGAUAAGGUACUGCGCCUAGAGGUCGUCGGCAGCGACGACGCGCCCGGGUCCGGCACCGACGCCGCCAGCCGCAAGCGCCGCCGCGAGGAGGCCGAAGAUCAUGAUGGAGAAGGUAUUGACUCUUGUACUCUGGUAAUUUUACAAGUCAAGACCAUGCGUGUCUGUUCGGUGAUUCUUGCUGCAAAGAGUCCUUUCUUUCUCAAGGUAAUCCUGGUAUCUUGUGAAAUGCGUUUGUUUUAUAAUCAGUUGACUCAACUCCCUGUUAAAUUUCAUGACUUUUAG
rnacentral:rRNA from 1 species